rnacentral:misc_RNA from 1 species
UUUCCGUAGGUGAACCUGCGGAAGGAUCAUUAUUGUAUAACCGAGGUGCGAGGGCUGUCGCUGACCCGAAAGGUCGUGCACGCCCGUGUGCCCUCACACACAUCCAUCUCACCCCUAUGUGCACCACCGCGUGGGUCCCCCUUUGGCUUGUUCGGAGGGGGGCUUACGUUUUCACACAAACUUUGUAUGCAGUGUAGAAUGUAUUUUUUGUUUUUGCGAUCACGCAAUCAAUACAACUCUCAACAACGGAUCUCUUGGCUCUC